AGAGAAAAUCUCUAUCUUCGGAAAUUGAAAUAUCACGGCAACUGCGCACCACUCCAUCCAACUCUCUCAUUCAUGUCCACGGCAGUUCUCACGCCAACUCAGCUGCUAUGGUUUCCACCGAUCUCAAUGCUUUCUAUACCCAUCUCUACCACAAUUCUCAUCGAAUUUUGAUUCCAUUCAGUUCGAGGUGUUGACUUGAAAGCUUUAACAAUGGUGCUCUACCAUCUCACUAGCGGGAUAGAGCCAUGAUUUAGGAUUUGAUUAAAAGCAAAUUGUUCUUGGUAAUACUUAAUUUAGGGUUAAAAAAAAACUUUUGAUUUAGAUGUAUUUAAGAAUAAAUUGUGUAAGACCAACCUGCAUGUCAUGGUUAUAUUCAUAAAGUGUUUUUACAUA